rnacentral:rRNA from 1 species
UACGUAGGGGGCGAGCGUUGUCCGGAGUUACUGGGCGUAAAGGGCACGCAGGCGGUGCGGCGCGUUUCGCGUGACAGCGGAGGGCUUAACUCUCCGAGGAUGCGAAAGACGGCGGCACUUGAGGGCCAGAGAGGGACACGGAAUUCCUGGUGUAGCGGUGAAAUGCGCAGAUAUCAGGAGGAACACCCGUGGCGAAAGCGGCUCUCUGGGACGGUACUGACGCUGAGACGCGAAAGCGUGGGAGCAAACAGG